GUCCCCGUAGCUCAGCUGGAUAGAGCGCUACCCUCCUAAGGUUGAAAUGGCCGUUCGAGUCGGCCCGGGGACG
rnacentral:tRNA from 1 species